CUCUACUCUGGUCCUUGUCCCGCCGCACAACAAAAUAAAAAAUCAGUUUGAGUUGAGAGGGAGGACGUGGUGAUUUGAUCAACUCUACACAAGAAAUAGGGGUUCCAAGUGACUCCGAGGAGGUGUUGUGAGGGGUAGUUGGAUUAUUUUCGGACUUGAGAGAUUCGGGAUUAGGUGGAAUUGAGGAUUUGCCAAAUUCUUAGAACAAAGCAAAGAAUAAUUCGAGAUUGUUAUUGUCUUCUAGGCGAAGGUUAAAUAAAGUCUUUAAUGUUUAGUUGAUGAAUUGAGAGUUUGUAAUAAUGAGAUUCUUUCUUUAGGUUGAGAUUUAUUUGGAGUUGAGGAAUAUUUAUUUUUAUCAAGUUAAUUAGCUUAGUUUGACUUUUGGGAUUAAAGAGAAUUUUUAUUGUUGGUUUUAGUUCAAUGAAGAGAUUUGUUUUAGUGCUCUUUUAAUGAAUGUAUAUUUUGGAGGACUU